rnacentral:rRNA from 1 species
AAUAGAUACCCCGGUAGUCCUGGCCGUAAACGAUGUCGACUAGAUCGCAGUACCUCUGACGGUAUCGCGGUCGAAGCAAAAGUGCUAAGUCGACCGCCUGGGAAGUACGGUCGCAAGGCUAAAACUCAAAGAAAUUGACGAGGGCUCACACAAGCGGUGGAGCAUGUGGUUCAAUUCGAAGCAACGCGCAGAACCUUACCUGGGCUUGAAACGCUAGGAUUAUCUCUAUGAAAGUAGAGUAGGCCCUUCGGGGUACAACUAGUACAGGUGCUGCAUGGCUGUCGUCAGCUCGUGUCGUGAGAUGUCGGGUUAAGUCCCUUAACGAGCGAAACCUUUGCCCUUAGUUACUAACGGAUAAUGCCGAGGACUCUAAGGGGACUGCCGGUGUCAAACCGGAGGAAGGUGGAGAUGACGUCAAGUCCUCAUGGCCUUUAUGCCCAGGGCCACACACGUGCUACAAUGGCGUUGACAAAGCGACCCUAAAACGCGAGUUCAUGGAAAUCGCAGAAAUAACGCCCCAGUUCAGAUCGGAGG